ensembl:ncRNA K02D10.7 ncRNA
GAUAAUGCUUUUAAAUUUUCUGAUGGAUUUGUAAAAAAAUAGAAUUAAAAACUCACUUGUAGAAGAAGCAGCACUCGGCCUGUAGUCAUCAUCGAAUGGAUUACGAGACAUUGAUGAAGUUUCUAGAAGUUCAAGUUUACGAAAUGAACAGAAUAAAUAACUUUUUAGAAUAGAUACAAAUGGCGGAAAAAGUAAUAUAACCGCGUGA